rnacentral:pre_miRNA from 1 species
UAUGGCUAAUGGGUGUGUGGUGUUCAACAACAGGGACAUGUUUAUUUACCUGUGUAUAGAUGGCGUUCAGCACCAAGGACAGGCGUAUUUGCCU